rnacentral:tRNA from 1 species
GGAGGAUUAGCUCAGCUGGGAGAGCACCUGCCUUACAAGCAGGGGGUCGUCGGUUCGAUCCCGUCAUCCUCCACCA